rnacentral:tRNA from 1 species
GGGAAUUUGGUUCAGUGGUAGAGUACUUGCCUAGUAUGCAUGAGGGCCUGAGUUCAAUACUCAGCACCA